rnacentral:rRNA from 1 species
GACGAACGCUGGCGGCGUGCUUAACACAUGCAAGUCGAACGGAAAGGCCCUGCUUUUGUGGGGUGCUCGAGUGGCGAACGGGUGAGUAACACGUGAGUAACCUGCCCUUGACUUUGGGAUAACUUCAGGAAACUGGGGCUAAUACCGGAUAGGAGCUCCUGCUGCAUGGUGGGGGUUGGAAAGUUUCGGCGGUUGGGGAUGGACUCGCGGCUUAUCAGCUUGUUGGUGGGGUAGUGGCUUACCAAGGCUUUGACGGGUAGCCGGCCUGAGAGGGUGACCGGCCAAAUUGGGACUGAGAUACGGCCCAGACUCCUACGGGAGGCAGCAGUGGGGAAUAAUGCACAAUGGGCGGAAGCCUGAUGCAGCAACGCCGGGUGCGGGAUGACGGCCUUCGGGUUUUAAACCGCUUUCGCCUGUGACGAAGCGUGAGUGACGGUAAUGGGUAAAGAAGCAACGGCUAACUACGUG